UACGGAGGAUGCAAGCGUUAUCCGGAAUUAUUGGGCGUAAAGCGUCCGCAGGUGGCACUUCAAGUCUGUCGUCAAAGACCGGGGCUUAACUUCGGAAAGGCAGUGGAAACUGAACAGCUAGAGUAUGGUAGGGGCAGAGGGAAUUCCUGGUGUAGCGGUGAAAUGCGUAGAGAUCAGGAAGAACAUCGGUGGCGAAGGCGCUCUGCUGGACCAUAACUGACACUCAGGGACGAAAGCUAGGGGAGCGAAUGGG
rnacentral:rRNA from 1 species